UACAGGGGGUGCAAGCGUUGUUCGGAAUUACUGGGCGUAAAGGGCGCGUAGGCGGUUUAGUAAGUCAGAUGUGAAAGCCCGGGGCUCAACUCCGGAAUUGCAUUUGAAACUGCUAGGCUAGAGUGCAGUAGAGGAUGGCGGAAUACCUAGUGGAGAGGUGAAAUUCGUAGAUAUUAGGUGGAACACCGGUGGCGAAGGCGGCCAUCUGGGCUGAUAACUGACGCUGAGGCGCGAGAGCGUGGGGAGCAAACAGG
rnacentral:rRNA from 1 species